UAUUACCUGGUUGAUCCUGCCAGUAGUGAUAUGCUUGUCUCAAAGACUAAGCCAUGCAUGUCUCAGUAUAAGCCUUCCUUAGUGCGAAACCGCACACGGCUCAUUAAAUCAGUCAUAAUUUAUUGGAUGACAGUUACCUGAGUAACCUCGGAUAACUGUGGCAAUACUAGAGCUAAUACGUGCGAAUAAGCUCUGACGCCCGCGUGUAAGGAAAAAUGCGAAGCUUGAACAGGGAGGGUCCGCCUUCUCUCGCUUCUUCUUCCAUCCUUCUCGGGGGCGGAUGAGCGCAGUUAUUAGAACCAUAAACCGAGCCGGGAUCUCGAUCUCGCGUUCGAGGUUAUGGUGACUCUGGAUAACGAUAGCUUAGCGUUGAGGCCUUUCGAGCCGGCGCUGCAUCUUUUCGAGUGACUGCCCUAUCAGCUAUGUAUCGUAGGAUCGGGGCCUACGAUGGCUGUAACGGGUAACGGGGAAUCAGGGUUCGAUUCCGGAGAGGGAGCCUUAGAAACGGCUACCACAUCUAAGGAAGGCAGCAGGCACGCAAAUUACCCAUUCCCAGAUCGGGGAGGUAGUGACGAUAAAUACCGAUGCGGGACUCAACCGAGGCCUCGCAAUCGGAAUGAGUUUAAUUUAAAUAAGUGGUCGAGGAUCGAUUGGAGGGCAAGUCUGGUGCCAGCAGCCGCGGUAAUUCCAGCUCCAAUAGCGUAUAUUAAAGUUGKUUGCGGUUAAAAANNNNNNNNNNNNNUUUAGAGUUGGCUAAAGCAGGCACAAAAAUCAAUACGCCCGAAUAUUAAUGCAUUGGAUGAUGGAACAUGACCUCGGUUCUGAUUCUUUUUCUCGGUUUUAACCGAACCCGAGGUAAUGAUUAACGGGAACGGGCGGGGGCAUUAGUACUGCGGCGCGAGGGGUGAAAUCCAUUGACCGUCGCAUGACUACCUACUGCGAAAGCAUUUGCCAAGUACGUUUCCAUUAAUCAAGAACGAAAGUUAGAGGAUCGAAGGCGAUCAGAUACCGCCCUAGUUCUAACCGUAAACUAUGCCAACUAGCGAUGAGUGUACAGUCAAUCCCAAGACUGCGCUCGCAGCCCCCGGGAAACCGAAGUUUUUGGGUUCCGGGGGUAGUAUGGUUGCAAAUCUGAAACUUAAAGGAAUUGACGGAAGGGCACCACCAGGAGUGGAGCCUGCGGCUUAAUUUGACUCAACACGGGAAAACUUACCAGGCCCGGACACCGGAAGGAUUGACAGAUUGAGAGCUCUUUCUCGAUUCGGUGGCUAGUGGUGCAUGGCCGUUCUUAGUUGGUGGAGCGAUUUGUCUGGUUAAUUCCGAUAACGAACAAGACUCUAGCCUAUUAAAUAGUAGUCGGAUCGUUUCCCUAGGCGGGCGCGUUCUCGCUUUCUCUCCCUCGGUCGGCGCUCUUUUUCGUCGUUUCGUUGGAAGUCCGCGGCGGUGAGGUGUUUUCGCCCUCUCUCUCCGUUGGUGUUGGCCGCGGCUUCGGCCCGACCGCGCCGCGGAGGACGGUGGGAGCUUCCUCCUCCGCGUGGCCUAAAACGAGCGACGAUGCGACGCCGGCUAAGCCGGGGGUCGGGGGGCUUACGGGCGCGUCCAUACCUUAGGGGCGUCCGUCGUAAUCUUCUUAGAGGUACCGGCGGUCUCGAACCGUACGAGAAAGAGCAAUAACAGGUCUGUGAUGCCCUUAGAUGUCCUGGGCCGCACGCGUGCUACAAUGGAGGGAUCAACGUGUUCUCCCACCCCGUGAGGAGUUGGGUAACCCGGUGAAACCCUUUCCCGAUUGRGAUUGGGGUUUGCAAUGGUUUCCCAUAAACGAGGAAUCCCUUGUAAAGCGYWGGGUCAAGAACUCGCGAUGAAUACGUCCCUGCCCUUUGUACACACCGCCCGUCGCUACUACCGAUGAAUGAUUAAGUGAGAGCGUCGGAUCGGCCUCCACGGGCAGCCCUCGUAUAUAAUAAUUCGCUCUGCGAUAAAAAAUACGGGAAAAGCGCCCUAGGCAUAGCCGCAAAGACGUACGAACUUGAUCAUUUAGAGGAAGUAAAAGUCGUAACAAGGU
rnacentral:rRNA from 1 species